rnacentral:rRNA from 1 species
GACUACCCCGCUGAACUUAAGCAUAUCAAU